AUGUGACUUGUGGGCUUCCCUUUGUCAUCCUUUGCCUAGGGCUUUGAGUGGGGCAGGGACAGCAAAGGGGUGCUCAGUCGUCACCUCC
rnacentral:pre_miRNA from 1 species